UUCUAUUUUUGGGAUGGCACUUUCUGCCCUAACAUCUUUUGCAAAAACUAAGGCUGCUUCUAAGUCGUUCCAUAAUUUAAUAUGUUGUUGUGAAGUCUAUCAAAUCUGACCAGUCAAAUUUUUAAGUUGAAAAGAUCUUCAUUAUCUUUGUUGUCAUUGGAAUUUCAUUUAGCAAAUUGGUUGUCUAUAGGUGCUUCUCAACAGUUUCCAGCAUAUAUAAGAGCCCAAUAGAUUUUCAAUGGAUAGCAUGCUAUUUAGCAAAGAAAUCCUCUAAGCUGAGACUUGUAACUCUCCCUUUGUUCUGACUGAAAGUUCAAUGUGUUUAUCUUGUGUUUAUCUUUCCUCCAAUAUGGGGAAGAAAAGAUGUCUUAUAAGAGUUAUCAUCCACUACAUUCUAUGCCUCUCAAUUUGCAGUUGGAAAAUAAUACUUAUCUUGCUUUCUGAGAUGAGUUAUUUUUCUGGUGAGACAUCUUAUUAGCAGUCUGUUUGACCAAACCACCUUCCUGAGUUGAACAGGUUGGUUAUUUGGAUGAGGGCCAUUUCUGAACAUAACCUGUGCUUGUUAGACCUAUUUAUCCUUUUUGACCAGUUGACUUGUACAAUUUAGGAUCUUCUAUUAUUUCGUGAAUGAAUUGGCAUUAUUUAAGCUUUUACUUGUUUAUGAGCAAUUUUUUCAAGGGGACUUGAUUUGGUUCAUUGCCAGAGCUAAUUCUUGUAACUGUCUUGACAAACUUGUUUGCAUAUGAAUCUUUUAGCGAACUAAUCUUGGUAAAUUCAAAGCACCUCAAAACCUUUUCUAGCUAAUACAUGUAUAAUUCUCCUCCUUUCUUGAUGCUUAUCUCAGGUAAUAAUUAGUUCGUAGGGCAGAAAUGCGACGCUUAUACAUGGAAUUAUCUGACAGUCACUUUGGAUGUAUGCCAGUAUCUGUGUGAGUGUUUUUCUAUUGAUGUGUAAGCACACAAUGUUAAAGGCUGAUGGAUGUUCUAAGACGACUAGUUAUGGAGAACUUAUUUUUAUCCCAUGCAAAAGUUACACAAGGGCAUGAUGCCGAAACAGAGAUAUAUAUCACAUGAUAUGCUCUUUAAUUUGAGCAUGUAUAGCUACCUGAAAGUAAUUAAGUUAGGGGAUUGUAUUAGGGCAAUCGCAAAAUAUCCCCUGACAAAGGGAUAAUUAUUCCCUUAUCAGACAAUUUACUCGUGUUUUUUUACAGCUGAUACAAUAAAUCUUGGCUUCGUUCAAUGUAUUUUUCAUGCCUCAGUAUGAUCAUAAUGCUUGAAUUAGUAGCCUUAUGUGUAUGAUACGUUUGCACUGCUUAUUUUGGUUAGGG
rnacentral:misc_RNA from 1 species